rnacentral:miRNA from 1 species
AAGUGGCAUUUGAUAAGCCAUC